rnacentral:lncRNA from 1 species
GAACAUGCUUCUUUAGCUCAGAGGAGUUUGCUUAUACCCACCUUCUGAAGCCUACUUCUGUCAAUUCGUCAAACUCAUUCUCCAUCCAGUUUUGUUCCCUUGCUGGUGAGGAGUUGUGAUCCUUUGGAAGAGAAGAGGAAUUCUGGUUUUUGGAAUUUUCAACCUUUUUGUGCAGGUUUUUCCUUAUUUACAUGGAUUUAUCUACCUUUGGUCUUUGAUGUUGAUGAGCUUUGGAUGGGGUUUUGGUGUGGACAUCCUUUUUGUUGAUGUUGAUACUAUUCCUUUCCGUUUGUUAGUUUUCCUUCUAACAGGCCUCUCUGCUGCAGUUCUUCUGGAGUUUGCUGGAGGUCCACUAGAGACCCUGUUUGCCUGGGUAUCACCAGCGGA